AGUUCGGAUUGUAGUCUGCAACUCGACUACAUGAAGCUGGAAUCGCUAGUAAUCGCGAAUCAGAAUGUCGCGGUGAAUACGUUCCCGGGUCUUGUACACACCGCCCGUCACACCAUGGGAGUCAGCAACGCCCGAAGUCAGUGACCUAACCGAGAGGAAGGAGCUGCCGAAGGCGGGGCAGGUAACUGGGGUGAAGUCGUAACAAGGUAAC
rnacentral:rRNA from 1 species